GCAUCACCAAAUCCCAGGUGUAACGAGCUCAGGUAUAAAUAGCCAGGUGAGGACGGUGGUCAAACAUCGCAUCCAAACUCUCAGCUAGAGAAACUUGCCGGUUUCUGAGCCCGUCAUCUACCUGCACCAUGAACAAACUCGUGUUUGCCGUUCUUGCCCUCGCUGUACUCUCCAUGAGCGCCCAAGCUUCCUUCUAUGGUGGUCUUGGUUUUGGAGGACUCGGUGGGCUUGGAUAUGGUGGGCUUGGAUUCGGUGGGCUUGGAUUCGGCGGUCUUGGAUUCGGCGGUCUUGGAUACGGCGGUCUUGGAGGUUGGGGACUGGGCAGACUCGGAUGGGGAGGUCUUGGAUACGGAUAUGGUCUCCCUAUUUACAAGGGACUCUAUUACUAAACAAGUAUCCCAGCCGUCAAGACGAUGUGUCAAGACAUUGUUUUUGUGUUUUUAGUGUUUGUGUUUGUAAAUGGCAAUAAAAAAAACAAAAAUUG